GACGAACGCUGGCGGAGGGAGGAAAAAAGGCAAGUCGAACGGAAAGGCCCUGCUUUUGGGGGGUGCUCGAGUGGCGAACGGGUGAGUAACACGUGAGUAACCUGCCCUUGACUUUGGGAUAACUUCAGGAAACUGGGGCUAAUACCGGAUAGGAGCUCCUGCUGCAUGGUGGGGGUCGGAAAGUUUCGGCGGUUGGGGAUGGACUCGCGGCUUAUCAGCUUGUUGGUGGGGUAGUGGCUUACCAAGGCUUUGACGGGUAGCCGGCCUGAGAGGGUGACCGGCCACAUUGGGACUGAGAUACGGCCCAGACUCCUACGGGAGGCAGCAGUGGGGAAUAUUGCACAAUGGGCGGAAGCCUGAUGCAGCAACGCCGCGUGCGGGAUGCCCGCCUUCGGGUUGUAAACCGCUUUCGCCUGUGACGAAGCGUGAGUGACGGUAAUGGGUAAAGAAGCACCGGCUCCCUACGUU
rnacentral:rRNA from 1 species